rnacentral:rRNA from 1 species
UACGUAGGGUGCAAGCGUUGUCCGGAAUUAUUGGGCGUAAAGAGCUCGUAGGCGGUUUGUCGCGUCUGCUGUGAAAACUCGGGGCUUAACUCCGAGACUGCAGUGGGUACGGGCAGACUAGAGUGCGGUAGGGGAGACUGGAAUUCCUGGUGUAGCGGUGAAAUGCGCAGAUAUCAGGAGGAACACCGGUGGCGAAGGCGGGUCUCUGGGCAAUAACUGACGCUGAGGAGCGAAAGCGUGGGGAGCGAACAGG